rnacentral:rRNA from 1 species
CCUACGGGUGGCAGCAGUGGGGAAUAUUGCACAAUGGGGGGAACCCUGAUGCAGCGACGCCGCGUGGGUGAGGAAGGACUUCGGUAUGUAAAGCCCUAUCAGCAGGGAAGAAAAUGACGGUACCUGACGAAGAAGCCCCGGCUAACUACGGGCCAGCAGCCGCGGUAAUACGUAGGGGGCAAGCGUUCUCCGGAUUUACUGGGUGUAAAGGGAGCGUCGCCGGCGUGCCACGUCUGAUGGGAAAGGCCGGGGCUCAACCCCGGGACGGCAUGGGAAACUGGCAUGCUGGAGUGCCGGAGGGGCAAGCUGCCUUCCUAGUGUCGCGGUGCCAUGCGUAGAUAUUAGGAG